GUGGAGGAGGACGCCGAAGGUGGGGCUAAUGACUGGGGUGAAGUCGUAACAAGGUAGCCGUACCGGAAGGUGCGGCUGGAUCACCUCCUAACAGGGAGACAACAAAAUGUUUAAUAUUAUUAUUUUGUCACCUUAGGUCGAUCGGUAUCUCACGUUCUUAAUUUAAUUAAGGAUUUCAUUUCCUAAGUUUUUCUAGGUCACACCCAUUAUUUUUCCUGGGCCAUUAGCUCAGGUGGUUAGAGCGCACCCCUGAUAAGGGUGAGGUCCCUGGUUCAAGUCCAGGAUGGCCCAUAUCUCUAUGUUGGGGGUAUAGCUCAGUUGGUAGAGCGCCUGCUUUGCAAGCAGGAUGUCAGCGGUUCGAGUCCGCUUACCUCCACUGAUUACCACCUCUUCCAUAAUCUGUAGAAGGGAAAUGUUUUGAGGUGUGAUCAAAUUCUGAACGAAUCUAGCUUCCUAAUGACAGCAUUAAGAUGCUGGACUCAUUGAAUUAAUUUCAUUGUUUUCAGAGAACCUUGACAACUGCAUAGAUUAUUUUUUAAAGACAAUAAGCAUUUUAAAUGAUGCAGAUUUAUUAUUUAUGCGUAUGCAUUAAUAACAAUUCUAUUAAGCUGAUGCUUCAAUUUUGAAGUUAUUGGUCAAGCUACAAAGGGCUCACGGAGGAUACCUAGGC
rnacentral:misc_RNA from 1 species